GAUGAACGCUAGCUACAGGCUUAACACAUGCAAGUCGAGGGGAAACGACAUCGAAAGCUUGCUUUUGAUGGGCGUCGACCGGCGCACGGGUGAGUAACGCGUAUCCAACCUGCCCAUCACUUGGGAAUAACCUUGCGAAAGUAAGACUAAUACCCAAUGAUAUCCCACGAAGGCAUCGGAAUGGGAUUAAAGAUUUAUCGGUGAUGGAUGGGGAUGCGUCUGAUUAGCUUGUUGGCGGGGUAACGGCCCACCAAGGCAACGAUCAGUAGGGGUUCUGAGAGGAAGGUCCCCCACAUUGGAACUGAGACACGGUCCAAACUCCUACGGGAGGCAGCAGUGAGGAAUAGUGGUCAAGGGGCGAGAGCCUGAACCAGCCAAGUAGCGUGCAGGAAGACGGCCCUAUGGGUUGUAAACUGCUUUUAUAAGGGAAUAAAGUGGGUCACGUGUGACUUUUUGCAGGUACCUUAUGAAUAAGGACCGGCUAAUUCCGUG
rnacentral:rRNA from 1 species